rnacentral:rRNA from 1 species
UCCAUGCUUCCAAGAAAAGCAUCUAGAGAGAGAAGUAGUGCCCGUACCGCAAACCGACACAGGUAGAUGAGGAGAGAAUCCUAAGGCCGGCGGAAGAAUUGCAGUUAAGGAACUAGGCAAAUUGACCCCGUAAGUUAGCGAGAAGGGGUGCCUGCGAGAGCAGGCCGCAGAGAAUAGGCCCAAGCAACUGUUUAGCAAAAACACAGGUCUCUGCUAAAGCGCAAGCUGAUGUAUAGGGCCUGACGCCUGCCCGGUGCUGGAAGGUUAAGGGGAACACUUAGCGCAAGCGAAGGUGUGAACUUAAGCCCCAGUAAACGGCGGCCGUAACAAUAACGGUCCUAAGGUAGCGAAAUUCCUUGUCAGGUAAGUUCUGACCCGCACGAAUGGCGUAAUGACUUGGGCACUGUCUCAACUGCAAAUCCGGCGAAGUUGUAGUGCGAGUGAAGAUGCUCGCUACCCGCGAUUGGACGGAAAGACCCCGUAGAGCUUUACUGUAGCUUAGCAUUGAAUUCCGGUAUUGUCUGUACAGGAUAGGUGGGAGACUGGGAAACUAGGGCGUCAGCCUUGGUGGAGUCGUCCUUGGGAUACCACCCUGACAGUACUGGGGUUCUAACAGGACGCCAUGAAUCUGGUGACUGGACAUUGUUAGGUGGGCAGUUUGACUGGGGCGGUCGCCUCCUAAAAAGUAACGGAGGCGCCCAAAGGUUCCCUCAGAACGGUCGGAAAUCGUUCGUAGAGUGCAAAGGCAGAAGGGAGCCUGACUGCGAGACCUACAAGUCGAGCAGGGACGAAAGUCGGGCUUAGUGAUCCGGUGGUACCUCGUGGGAGGGCCAUCGCUCAACGGAUAAAAGCUACCUCGGGGAUAACAGGCUGAUCUCCCCCAAGAGUCCACAUCGACGGGGAGGUUUGGCACCUCGAUAUCGGCUCGUCGCAUCCUGGGGCUGUAGUAGGUCCCAAGGGUUGGGCUGUUCGCCCAUUAAAGCGGCACGCGAGCUGGGUUCAGAACGUCGUGAGACAGUUCGGUCCCUAUCCGUCGCGGGCGUAGGAAAUUUGAGAGGAGCUGUCCUUAGUACGAGAGGACCGGGAUGGACUGACCUCUGGUGCACCAGUUGUUCUGCCAAGAGCAUGGCUGGGUAGCUAAGUCGGGAAGGGAUAAACGCUGAAAGCAUCUAAGCGUGAAGCCUCUCUCAAGAUGAGAUUUCCCAUAGCAUAAGCUAGUAAGACCCCUUGAAGAACACGAGGUUGAUAGGUCAGAGGUGUAAGUGUGGUAACAUAUUUAGCUGACUGAUACUAAUAGGUCGAGGGCUUGACU